GUGACUGCGUACCUUUUGUAUAAUGGGUCAGCGACUUAUAUUCUGUAGCAAGGUUAACCGAAUAGGGGAGCCGGAGGGAAACCGAGUCUUAACCGGGCGUUAAGUUGCAGGGUAUAGACCCGAAACCCGGUGAUCUAGCCAUGGGCAGGUUGAAGGUUGGGUAACACUAACUGGAGGACCGAACCGACUAAUGUUGAAAAAUUAGCGGAUGACCUGUGGCUGGGGGUGAAAGGCCAAUCAAACCGGGAGAUAGCUGGUUCUCCCCGAAAGCUAUUUAGGUAGCGCCUCGUGAAUUCAUCUCCGGGGGUAGAGCACUGUUUCGGCUAGGGGGCCAUCCCGGCUUACCAACCCGAUGCAAACUGCGAAUACCGGAGAAUGUUAUCACGGGAGACACACGGCGGGUGCUAACGUCCGUCGUGAAGAGGGAAACAACCCAGACCGCCAGCUAAGGUCCCAAAGUCAUGGUUAAGUGGGAAACGAUGUGGGAAGGCCCAGACAGCCAGGAUGUUGGCUUAGAAGCAGCCAUCAUUUAAAGAAAGCGUAAUAGCUCACUGGUCGAGUCGGCCUGCGCGGAAGAUGUAACGGGGCUAAACCAUGCACCGAAGCUGCGGCAGCGACGCUUAUGCGUUGUUGGGUAGGGGAGCGUUCUGUAAGCCUGUGAAGGUGGCCUGUGAGGGUUGCUGGAGGUAUCAGAAGUGCGAAUGCUGACAUAAGUAACGNACGUAUCACCCAAGACAACUUUACGGAGUUGACGAUUGACGGAGCGAAGCGACGUCAAAGCGUUCAUUAAAGUCGAGUUGGCUUAGGGAUACGUUCGUUGGGUAGGGGAGCGUUCUGUAAGCCUGCGAAGGUGGCCUGUGAGGGUUGCUGGAGGUAUCAGAAGUGCGAAUGCUGACAU
rnacentral:rRNA from 1 species